rnacentral:lncRNA from 1 species
UUGACUUAAUGAAAUAAUAUAUUUAUUGAUAAAAUAUUUGAGCACUAAUGGAAUCCAUUAUAUAUAGUUUGAUUAACAAGAAAUGAUCAGUGAAAAAAAAAUCAAAACAAUAUUAAAACAUGUGCAUCAAAUAUAAGUCCAAAUACUUUCUACAUUUCCAGGCGGUACAAGACAAAAUCCUGUGGAUAAAAGAUUACUUUCACCUUUGUACCAUUCAAUAGCCUCUCUUUCAAAUAUACAUACACAAGAUAACAUUAAGGUAAGUCAACGUUAAAAAAUACUUUUGUAUUAUGUUAAACAAUUUUUUUACUACGAAUAAAUAUAAAAUCCCACUUUAAAUGUUGUUUGUCAAAGGCCCUGUUCUUGAUAUACACUUUUCAAGAAUGCUAAACACAUUUAAAAGUCCAUAGGUCUAUGACAAAAAAAGACAUAAAUCAGAAGCUUAAAUUAUUGCAGUUAAAUUUUGCCUGAGAGAUUACGAAAAUUACUUUUGACAAUUUUAUAAUCUAAUAACGAACAAUCUAGGAAUAGCUGAAAUGCAUGAAAAAGUGAUAAAGCAAUCUGUGCUUUUACUUGAAUUUGCAGCCGUACUUUGAAGACGAAAAACGUCUAGCGUAAACCUGCUAUUUUCGGUCAGUUUAUUUGAUUUAUGCAUUAAACGGUAUACAAUACUACGCAAUAGUAUGAAGUACUGCAGCAUGCUUGUCCAUUUUAAUUUUAGCACUUUAAUUGUUGCAGAUGUUUGUCAAUAACAUUAUUAGUAAAUAUCACUCUGGUAUCUUUAAUCACGUUUCUUCUCUUUUUCAUCACUUUAAAUUUAAUUUUAGUUGAAUGUUUCGACCAAAGACACAAAUAUUAUAAACGGAGACCUCACAGAAAAAGACAAUAACGGCUUUGUCAAUAGUCGACUUUAGGGUAGAUUGUGUGACUGUUCCUCACAUUAUCAUAUCGCAGUUUCCAAAACAAUAAUUACAUACAUGAUAUUGAGCUUAUCCAGAAACGCUAUGAUAACACAACAAUGUAUUGAAAGCUUAUCAGGCUUAAGACAGAACUGUCCGUAUUUCAAAAUGUUAGACACGGUGCACUGAACCCCAAUUUAUAGAAACAAUUUGGCUUGUAAAAUUUCAAUAUCAAUAUGGAUUUAAAAACAGUUACAAAGAAAUAAUCAGAAAUUAAAUAUACAUUAACUUUUUAAAUAAUCACAUUGACUUUAAAAACAAUAAGAAACUAGAGGCUCCCAGGAUCAUUCUGUUGUUAAUAGUUUCUCUCUAUGUACUAUAGUGAUGAAAAACACAAACUGGAUAUCUUCCAAUAUCUUCUGUAAGGACUUAUGUUUCAUAUUUGUAGAUCUUGUUUAUCUUGGUCUCUUUUGUUAUUCACUUUUUUCUCAGAGAUGUAUAUAGUUUUACAUGUCAAUGUGACGGAGUGUUUUUGAAAUAAAGCAUAGUGUAUUAUAUAUAUUGUUUAGUCCAAAACUAU